UCAGAGAUCAGCUGUUCUGCUCUGGCCUCAGCUCUGAAGUCCAACAUCCAUCUGAGAGAUCUGGACCUGGGUCUCAAUGAUCUGAAGGGUUCAGAUGUCAAGCUGCUGAGAGAUCUUCUGGAGAGUCCAGACUGCAGACUGGAGACUCUCGGGAUCAGAGGAGAGACGAUCAGAGCCAAGAUCCAGAAGAACUGUGACAGGAAGUGAAGACACUCUGGUGAUGCCUUGCUCUCUCUGAAAGGGGAGGACACCUAUCUGCCAUAGUUUCUCCACCUGACGACUGAGUUCGGCAUCGGGGGUUCCAGUUGGGGUGAAGAGACUCUGGGGGGCAUCCGAUGGCUCCUGAAUAGGGGAGGCCCUUGGAGUGUCCAACCUAAUGAUAAUAAUAAUAAUAAUGCAUUUUAUUUGUAAAGCACCUUUCAUUGCUAAAAGUAAUCUCAAAGUGCUACAAGGGACAUAAUAUACUUUUUUUU